GAAAACGUCCGUAUGGCUGUUUCGGAACACAUGCUGCAGACAUGAUGUAACCUUCAUUUUCCAGUGAUUAAGAAUCGUGGACCGUCCAGGGAAAGAGACCAUUAUAUUAUUAAGAUACUACCUUCCUAAUACCAUACAGCCUUUCUUUACAUGUGAUCAUGUGAUUGAACUUUCUCCUUCUUGGAUACCACAGUGUGACUUUU